UGGCUAAAUGAUAAAGCGCUUGGAUUCCGAACCAGGGGCCCCAGGUUCGAAUCCUGG
rnacentral:tRNA from 1 species